UCAUCAGUGGAGCCCCCUCUCGCUUUCUCCUCCCCUCUCUCUCUCUCUCUCCUUUUUCCACCCCUCGUCUUUCUUCUUCCCCUUUUUCAUUUGCUCCUAUCGUUCUGCUUCAGCUUCACACAAGGGGGAGACUUAAGCUUUGCGAGGGAAAAAGAGAGAUGGAAAAAAGUGCUGCUGUUUCUCCAGUCAGGGCCUCCCUGUAGCCCGCCCUUCCAUAGCUGGACUGCUUUUUCUUUUUUUUUCUUUUUUUUCCCUCACUACUAGCUGGAUUUUAACCCUCUGCUUCCAACUAGCUGCACAGCAGCAGCUCUGCAAAACCAGGCAACAAGUUGAUAUUUUAAAGGGCCUUUCACCUUAAUUUCGUCACAUAGAUUUUUGCAUGUCUUCGGAUUCAUGUUUUUACGCCGUUAAUUUUCAUAUUCUUUUUAAAACAAAUGAAUGAAAUGUUCUAACUUUUUGCGUAGUAUUUCUUAGCUUCCGCUGUUUUCUUUUGGAUUGAUUUAAACUUUUUUUCUUUUUGGGGGAGUUAAAUCUGUUUCUACGUUGGAUAAGAGACCUGGGCGCCAUUUCGGGUAACCUGUUUGCGGUAGGGUCGUGGUCUGGACAACCACUGUGAAUGGCAACAAGAGCCUGUGUGUCUAAAGAUGGUUGUACGUUUCUGUUUUAAAAGAAUUGUCCAAGAUCAGCAAUUUUGACAUGCAUGGACUUCCGUACCAUGUUUUUUUUUUCCGUCAGUUUUCCCCUUAUUUCCUUUGCAUGUCUUACCGUAAUCUACCCCUCUGUGUCUCCCACUUACCCUCUUUACUUCUCUGACUAAAGAGAAUGAGUGAAGAGCCGAUCUAAAGCACUUUCUGGGACAGGUACCAACUCCGGACAAAAUAAAUUUCAACUCGAUAACAGAGAAAAUACAUUUUGAGUCUAAAAAAUUAGAAUUAUGCAUCAGAGUAUUCCUCGUUUUACAUGCUGUGUCCUUUGAAUGGAACAGUUAUUAUUGUGUGAUUCUAUUUAUUGUUAAAAGAGUAAAUGUAAUACUUAGACACUUUUAUUUAAAGUGAAGACAUCUGAUUCAGGGCACAGGGUGUGAUGAGGGAGCAUAUAGAAAGCUGAAUUAUUCAUGCGCUCAGCCGAGGCUGGGACUGAACCCCCUGUGCUAUUUGCAUGCAUCAGACAUGCUGUAUGCCUGUUUGCUAACAUUUCUCAUUGAAGGACUUCAUAAGCAGCAGACUAGUUGAGCUGGAGAAUUGCAGGGGUCCAGAUUGCCUUUCAAUGUCUCAGGCCUUGCACAGCCUGGACCCUUUUUUCAGACGGGCUAACUACGCAUACUUAGGGAGCAGAGACUGUGGCCGAAUAAGGCAGUGAGCGCCCGCUUGUUGGGACUGUCCCCCCGAGCUAUAGCCUGAGCUUAAGGCUGAGGCUCAACUGUAAAUUGGACAGUCUGAGAGAGAUAUAACCGGGUUCCCCAAACAGCACUGAAUGGGAGCUCAUAGCUUUCUCCUCUUCCUAACAGAGAUAUGAAUCUACAGGGGGAAGAGCUGGCGAAAUUCAUCCUGAGCACACAUUAAUUGCCUUGCUUUGAAGAAACUGUGCUACGGUGGAGUUGAAGCCUCUGACGGUAACAAUUUCCCAGUGAGUGACAUUCUGCACAGUCCAAAGGAACACUUUUUUUGGAUGAAGACUACCUGAUGUGCUGCUGGAACAAUCACUGUGCCUGAAGACAGGAGGCCAGCCAACCAACCCCUUACCCCCUACCACCGACCCGCUGCAUGUUGCGUAGCAGGUGAGAUGCAUUAGCAGAGGCAGCAGCUGUGGCCCUAUGCUCCUCACAUGUGGGCAGGGAUCUGUGCUUUGUUGAGUUCAGCCUCCCUCUCAAUAAUAUUAACACUCAGCUCUUAGAAACUAAGAAAACAGUUCUAAGAAACAAGAAAUCCUUCAAAGUGUUCUGCGUGACACAAAGGCUGCACAGACUUAGAAUAUAACUCCUGAACUUUAACAGAUUCUGUCAUGUUACAAACGCAGACAUCAGUGUGUUUAAAUGUGAUAGGCCAACACAGACAUGCACUACCCUGGAAGGAACAAAAUAUAUGACUUCCAAACUCAAUUACAAUUAAAAUCUGAGAGGAACGACAUGCUUUAUAGAUCAGACCGCUUUAUUCUGACCCCCCUAAAUAAAUCCAAUACCACUAAUUGUCUUUACCUAAGUUAGUUAAUAGUCAAAGUGUGUAAUUAAAUUUCAGCUUUUUGUAUUUUCUAUAAGCCUUAUAAGGAAUAUUGUACAUAUGCAAUGCUGUCGACCAGCAGUACAUUUUUUUAGACUGCAGUAAAAGUUCCAUACUGUAUGUAGGGGUGGACUGAUCUGGCUUAUCUCGCUAAACGCAAAACCCUUUCUGUAAAACAUAUCAGCUGUAACAUGAUGUUUUGUUUUUUGUUUUUUGCAGAUACUUGGAAAACGAUCAAGUUGGUUGUACUACAGAUAAAGCCAAAAAUAGGGAUUCCUAGGUAGAGUUUGUGAGAAAUUUAAGCUCCUGUGGAGCUUUUUAGUUUAACGUGUUUUCAAUUGAACGGGAUAGCCAAAGUCCAGAGCUAAUCUGAUUGAUAAUACAUGACAAGACUGUAGAAUAUCUGGUCAAAACAUUCUAAAUUAAAUGAAGCUACAUUAUUAACUGGAAAGAGGAAAUAUCUCAUUGUCUAGAUAAGUAAAGGAGGUAGAGACAAAUCCUAACAUCCUUUCAGCUUUAAUAGCAGGGAAAGGCAGUUAUAAAUUUUAGCUCAGGGGGUGGUGUGUGCAAAUACAAGCUUCAUUGGAACAAGUUUCGUCUUAUUUCAUUUUUAACAAAACAUCACUUUCCUUCAUGAUUAUGCACGACUCUAACUUAGACCUGUUUAUGUGGACGAAAUACCCCUUCAUAGCAUCAUGCUAACACCACUAUUACCCCAUUUACACUACCCUUGAAAAACUGUGCCGAGACCUGUCCGAGCUCAGUAACUGAGAUAACUUAUCUUGUGUAAAUGCAAAGCAAACUGAACUGAACCGAGCU